ACCUCAGUAACGGCGAGUGAAGCGGUAACAGCUCAAAUUUGAAAUCUGGCCCUUUCAGGGUCCGAGUUGUAAUUUGUAGAAGAUGCUUUGGGUGUGGCACCGGUCUAAGUUCCUUGGAACAGGACGUCAUAGAGGGUGAGAAUCCCGUAUGUGACUGGCUGCCUUCGCCCGUGUAAAGCUCUUUCGACGAGUCGAGUUGUUUGGGAAUGCAGCUCAAAAUGGGUGGUAAAUUUCAUCUAAAGCUAAAUAUUGGCCAGAGACCGAUAGCGCACAAGUAGAGUGAUCGAAAGAUGAAAAGCACUUUGGAAAGAGAGUUAAACAGUACGUGAAAUUGUUGAAAGGGAAGCGCUUGCAACCAGACUCGCGCGCCGUUGAUCAUCCGGUGUUCUCACCGGUGCACUCGGCGGCGCUCGGGCCAGCAUCAGUUUGGGUGGUGGGAUAAAGGCCUUGGGAAUGUGGCUCUCUUCGGGGAGUGUUAUAGCCCUCGGUGCAAUGCCGCCUACCUGGACUGAGGACCGCGCUUCGGCUAGGAUGCUGGCGUAAUGGUUGUAAGCGACCCGUCUUGAAACACGGACCAAGGAGUCUAACAUCUAUGCGAGUGUUUGGGUGUCAAACCCAUACGCGUAAUGAAAGUGAACGGAGGUGAGAACCCUUAAGGGUGCAUCAUCGACCGAUCCUGAUGUCUUCGGAUGGAUUUGAGUAAGAGCAUAGCUGUUGGGACCCGAAAGAUGGUGAACUAUGCCUAAAUAGGGUGAAGCCAGAGGAAACUCUGGUGGAGGCUCGCAGCGGUUCUGACGUGCAAAUCGAUCGUCAAAUUUGGGUAUAGGGGCGAAAGACUAAUCGAACCAUCUAGUAGCUGGUUCCU
rnacentral:rRNA from 1 species